AUGGAGACCUUGGGCAUGAAGGUGCCUCUGCGCCUGAGGCAGUGCAGGUCUGCUAUAAAAGGCAGCCCAAGUCUCUGCUCUCGCAUCCACUUCUCUCACCUCCUCCUGUUCAGGAAUCAGGUGCACCUGUGACCCCCAGCCAUGUCCUGCUGCAGACCCUGUGACCCCUGCGGCCAGUCCUGCGGCCCCUGCCCCCUGGGCAGCAGCUGCACUGAGUGCUGUGUCAGGCAGUGCCAGGACUCCCACGUCGUCAUUGAGCCCUCCCCUGUGCUGGUGACCCUGCCUGGGCCCAUCCUCAGCUCCUUCCCCCAGAACACCGCCGUGGGAUCGUCCAGCUCUGCUGCUGUUGGCAGCAUCCUGAGCUCUCAGGGAGUGCCCAUCAGCUCUGGGGGCUUUGACCUCUCCUGCAUCACCAACUGCUAUGGUGGCAACAGGUGCCGUCCCUGCUAAAUCUGCUGACAACCUUGGGCAAGAACCUCCAUGGCCUCAGCAUCUGGUCCUGGUCAGGAGACAGCUUUGGGACAUUGUAAUUUGAAUUUCAAGCCAUUGUCCCUUUCUUCUCCUGUCUCUUUUUGCUCUUUCCUUUUCUGUCCAUGUCUCCUCAAGCCAGUCUAGUGGAGACUUGUUGCCCUCCCCUCCCUCUGCAGGCCAAGCAGAGGGACACCUCCACUGCAUCUUAGUAGAUGCUCCUGGUGCCCUCUCUGAGCCACUCUGAGUAUUU